UUGUAAUAUUUUCCUACUAUUUUCCUGUGUCAAUGGAUUGACGUUAUUUUGCCAUUAUCGUAAUGGAACUAUAUAAUUCCUUUUUAGAUACAUAGACAAAAAGAUAAGCUGCAAAAUCCGUGCCUAUAUUAUUUAGCUUAAACAAGCAAAAUUUCCUUCACUCUAGAAAGAAGUAAAUCCAAGAUCUAUGAUAAAAUAAAAUAAAAAAAAUUCAUAUGAAAGCAGAAAUUGGAGGCUCAGAUUCGCCUUUUAUCAUCAGAAGAGAAAAAUGGCUAACCCGCCAUGGCUGCAGAAAUCAGUUUGAUUUAUGAGAGCCAUCUCAUAAAUAAUCUAAUUUCGCCACGCCAAGAUACAGGUUUGCUCGAAAUCUGAUCUUUUAAUUGAAAAAAUCAUCACAGCCUCAAAAUAAAGGGAAAAUUGCAGCAUUGGUCUCCAAUCCAAGUCACUGGGAAGAGAUCUGGAUUGAUCUUGAUGAACUGACAAGGGUUGUUGAGAUUUUGUUGUAAGAUCAUCGGCCGCUGGAUGCAUUUGAGGGGUAACAACCCUAGAAGACUCCCUUCCUCGCUCCAUAAACCAGUAG
rnacentral:lncRNA from 1 species